rfam:Triticum aestivum genome assembly, contig: Triticum_aestivum_CS42_TGACv1_scaffold_374241_5AL
GUAGUACUCCCUCCGUUCGGAAUUACUUGUCUCGAAAAUGGAUGUAUUUAGAACUAAAAUACAUCUAGAUGCAUUCAUUUCUGCGACAAGUAAUUCUGAACGGAGGGAGUACAAG